UUGAACCUAAUACAAGUUUCUGUGUGUUCAUUUGGGCCUAACUCGGGUGGGCGGCUGACAUAAAGCACACACGUGGUGGUGGUGGUGCUCAGGAGGCUUUUGGCAGAAAGAUUUAUCAUAACAAUGCUCCAAUUGAGUCAUUAGUCUUAGGCAUCCAGAAAUACUGAAAAUGAAGAUGUUGAAGAAUGUCAAUGAAUGUCAAGCAUGUUGGGUCCAACAGAGGCUGAUGGCCUUGGUAGUGACUCAGCUUUAUUAAGAGCAUUGACUGUGACUCAACUCAUCCCAAUGUGAAGUCCUGUCCACAUGACAAAAUCAAGAGGCUUACCUCCUCAGGAGCUUGUUCCGGUGGUGCCAACAUUCUGGAGUUCACAUCACUGGAGUUCCGAUCCCAGAGAGGAUGUGUGGAAUCAGCCAGAGAAUGGAGACUGACAUGAUCUGAGGGUAAACAGAGAUGGCUGCCAUUUAUUGAAGAAAAAAAAAAAGUCUACAUCUUUUGUAGUUCACAAUUGCACAAGGAUUAAAUGGGAGUAAGGGACAUAUGAACUGCAAGGUGGCUUCUGAACAGGGAUUCAGAAACCUAACAUUGAGCUUGAGAAGUUUAUAGGCUUCAGUCAUAUGUUAAUGAAAGGGCCACAAGUUCUCCAUGCCAGAGAUAGGAAUAUCUCCCUUUUAAGGUUGCAGGAACUUUAAGUCCCUGAGGAAAUGGGAACUUUUGUCUAUUUGCCUGACCUUGGCAAAGGACAUUCUUGGCAAAGGACAUUCUUGGGGAUCAAACCUUCAUUAUAGAAAAUUGCAGGUUUUGGUUUUUGUUGUUGUUGUUUUGGGGUUUGGGUUUGUUUUUUUUUGUUUGUUUGUUUUUGUUUUUUUCUUUUUCUUUUUUCUUCUUUUUUUUUUCCAUAUGGCUUAGUUUAUCCAAAUAGCUAGAGCUUGAAGAGAGCAAAGACAAAGCUUGACAAUAUUACUAUGAACCUGA